rnacentral:rRNA from 1 species
GAUGAACGCUGGCGGCGUGCCUAAUACAUGCAAGUCGAGCGAACAGACGAUGAUCUUGCUCCUCUGACGUGAGCGGCGGACGUGUGAGUAACACGUGUAUAACCUACCUAUAAUACUGGUAUAACUUCGAGAAACCGGAUCUAAUACCGGAUAAUAUAUUGAACCGCAUUGUUCAAUAGUGAAAGACGGUUUUGCUGUCACUUAUAGAUGGAUCCGCGCCGCAUGAGAUAGUUGGUAAGGUAACGGCUUACCAAGGCAACCAUGCGUAGACGACCUGAGAGGCUGAUCGCCCUCAUUGGAACGGAGCCACGGUCAAUACUACUACGGUAGGCAGCAGUAGGGAAUCUUACGCAAUGGGCGAAAGCAUGACGGAACAACGCCGCGUCAGUGAUGACGGUCUUCGGAGCGUAAAACUCUGUUACUAGGGAAGAACAACUGUGGAAGUAACUAUGGACGUCUUGACGGUACCUAAUAAGAAAGCCCCGGCUAACUACGUG